AGUGAACGCUGGCGGUAGGCCUAACACAUGCAAGUCGAACGGCAGCACAGUAAGAGCUUGCUCUUACGGGUGGCGAGUGGCGGACGGGUGAGGAAUACAUCGGAAUCUACUUUUUCGUGGGGGAUAACGUAGGGAAACUUACGCUAAUACCGCAUACGAUCUACGGGUGAAAGCAGGGGAUCUUCGGACCUUGCGCGAUUGAAUGCGCCGAUGUCGGACUAGCUAGUUGGCGGGGUAAAGGCCCACCAAGGCGACGAUCCGUAGCUGGUCUGAGAGGAUGAUCGGCCACACUGGAACUGAGACACGGUCCAGACUCCUACGGGAGGCAGCAGUGGGGAAUAUUGGACAAUGGGCGCAAGCCUGAUCCAGCCAUACCGCGUGGGUGAAGAAGGCCUUCGGGUUGUAAAGCCCUUUUGUUGGGAAAGAAAAGCAGCAGGUUAAUACCCCGCUGUUCUGACGGUACCCAAAGAAUAAGCACCGGCUAACUUCGUG
rnacentral:rRNA from 1 species